UGAACAGGCUUGGACGACGGUGCACUAUUGUGAUGUUUCGUCGGAGCGAUCGCAGUUAUUGAAAUUAAAACUGUUCACACCUCAUUUAAGAGCUAAAUUUAUUCUUUUCUAUAUAGAAUCUUGGUGUACGUUUAUUUAAUGUCACUGUAGGUACUUUUAUUCAAGCUUCAUCUUUUCAAUUGGAGCUCAGAUAUUUGAGCUUCAAAAAUGGCAGGUAGAUCCCUGCUGCCACUCCUGCUUCUGUCAAGGCUGUGUGUUGUGACUUCACAAAAUGCAGGUACCUUCCCAGCUCCGGGUAAGUGACGUAUUUGUAAUGUUUGUUUUAAGCAGUAGGUAUGCGGACAAACUUGACAGCUUGCUUGACUUGCUCUAUCUAACUGACCACACCUCUUUAACAAGGAUAAAUGGAUAAUCUAAUCUUUUCUCUUUUUUUCAAAACUUAAAUAGCUUUGGAAUGCCAAAGGAAAAUAUUAUUAACAUGUUGCUUUUUAAACUUUGGAGUUCUGGAAACUCAACUGAAACUAAACUUCAGUUGUGAUUGAGACCUUUAAAGACCCACCU